rnacentral:lncRNA from 1 species
ACUUGGGCCAUAUGGGACAUCCCAUUUAAAUAGGGAACUAAGGGACGUGAGAAGGACCAAGGGGUGCCAACCUUUGGCGCUCCACUUUCUCACUCGGUGAGUAAAUUCAUCAUGUGAAAUUUUGGUAUAGGAGAGUCUUCACACAGAAGGACUCCUCCUAUUUUAUGCCUCAUAAAAAUAUCAUAAUAAUUUGGCAUGAAAUCAUA